CCACCAUGCCAGGCUAAUUUUUGUAUUUUUAGUAGAGACAGGUUUUCACCAUGUUGGCCAGGCUGGUCUCGAACUUCUGACCUCAGGUGAUGCGCCCGCCUCAGCCUCCGAAAGUGCUGGGACUAUAGGCGUGAGGCACCGCACCAGGCCCUCUUUAAAUUUUUUUAGAGACAGUGACUUGCCCUGUUGCACAGGCUGGAGGAUACAGUGGUGCAGUCUUGGCUCACUGCAGCCUCGAUCUCCCAGGUUAAGGAAUCCUCUCACCUAGGCCUCCAAAGUAGCUGGUACUACAAGUGUGUGUCACCACGCAUGGCUAACUUAAAGUUUUUUUUUGUAGAGAUGGUGUCAAUAUGUUGCCCUGACUGGUCUCAAACGCCUGGGCUCAGCCAAUCCUCCUUCCUUGACCUCCUGAAAUGCUGGGAUUGCAGGCAUGAGCCACUGUGCCUGGCCAAUGGUCUUUGAGGAUGAAGAAUUUUAGCCAGAACCUGAAGGAUAUAUCUGGCUCUAUUUAGAUUUGAAAAUACAUAAUGUCUCAAGAAAAGCAAAACAAAACGCCUCACUGAAGGAAACAGGGUUAGUGUGAUAUAUGGGUGAUUUUUUUUUUUCCUUUUCUCCUAAAGACUUUCAUUCAUAGGAUUGUCCUUGAUUCUCGCCCAUCAGCAAACACUGGUAGGCUCCACCUUCAAGACUUAUCCAGAAUCAGACCACCUCACCUCAUCUACUGCAGCCUCCCUGGGCAGGGCCUGGCCUCCUUCAGUCUGUUCUCACCACACAGCCACCAAAGGGAUCCUUUUAUUUUGAUUGAUUGAUUGAUUGAUUGAUAUGGGGUGUGACUCUGUCAGCAGGCGGGAGUGCAAUGGCACGAUCUCACCUCACUGCAAUCUCUGCCUCCUGGACUCAAGCAGUCCUCCCACCGCUGUCUCCCGAGUAGCUGGGACCACAGGUGCACGCCACCACACCCAGUUAACCUUUUUGUAUUUUUAGUAGAGAUGGGGUUUCACCAUUUUGCCCAGGAUGGUCUCAAACUCUUAAGCUCAAGCAGUCUACCCACCUCAGCUUCUCACAGUGCUGGGAUUACAGGUAUGGGUCACCACGCCCAGCGCCUUUUAAAAGCACGGUUGGAUCAUAGCAUUUAUCUGCUCAUAACAAUGGCUUUUGCUUCCCUGCUCACUCAAAAGAAAUUCCUUCUUCACUGCAGAACUGGCCCUCCUACCACAGGAUGUUUAGGGUCCCUGGCUGCAACCCCCAAAGGUCCUAAUGGUGCUGGUCGUGGGGGAAUCCGCACCAUUGUGACAACUGAAUAUGCCCACAUGAUGCCCAAGGUUUCAGUCCUGGCCACACCCCUUCCACCGUGUCACCGUGCUGGGUUGGUUUCUUCAUCUAAAAAAUGGCGAUGGGGAUAACAAACUUGAAAAAGGGUCAUGUGAGUGAGGUGUCCAGCAUUGGGGGGUGUCCGGCAUCGGGGGGUGUCCAUCAUCGGGGGGUGUCCAUCAUCGGGGGGUGUCCGGCAUCGGGGGGUGUCCAUCAUCGGGGAGCGUCCGGCAUCGGGGGGUGUCCGGCAUCGGGGAGGCGUCCGGCAUCGGGGGGUGUCCGGCAUCGGGGGGGGGCCGGCAUCGGGGGGUGUCCAUCAUCGGGGGGUGUCCGGCAUCGGGGGGUGUCCGGCAUCGGGGAGGUGUCCGGCAUCAGGGGGUGUCCAUCAUCGGGGGGUGUCCGGCAUCGGGGGGUGUCCGGCAUCGGGGGGUGUCCAUCAUCGGGGGGUGUCCGGCAUCGGGGGGUGUCCGGCAUCGGGGAGGUGUCCGGCAUCGGGGAGGUGUCCGGCAUCGGGGGAGUGUCCAUCAUCGGGGGGUGUCCGGCAUCGGGGAGGUGUCCGGCAUCGGGGAGGUGUCCGGCAUCGGGGGGUGUCUGGCAUCGGGGGGUGUCCAUCAUCGGUGGGUGUCCGGCAUCGGGGAGGUGUCCGGCAUCGGGGGGUGUCCGGCAUCGGGGGGUGUCCAUCAUCGGGGGGUGUCCGGCAUCGGGGGGUGUCUGGCAUCGGGGGGUGUCCGGCAUCGGGAGUACUUAAUAAAGGGUCCCCAUUGAUACCAGCUGAGGCAUAAGCAAACUCCACUGCUCCUAUUAUCUGCACCUGAAGAUUUGCACCUUGCGUGUAUGUGGAUCCUUUUCCAAUUUCUUCUGUAUUAAACAUUCUUUCCUGUAUCAGAAAGUAAGGUUAUGGGUUGGAGCUAAAAAUCUGCCCUUCGAUCCGUCCCCCCGAUAGAGUGCUUUGCUGGCCAUAAGGAUGGGCUGCAGACAGCAGCUCCCUUUCUUUCACUGCCGCCCCCAGCUCCUCUCUUUCACUGCAGGCUGUGUGAAUCAGGCUCCAACAUUUCCACUGUGUGAUCCUAGAUCAGUGUGUGAACCUCCCAGAGUUUCCGUCUCUGCAGAUGGAUGUGCUGACAGCCCCUGCCAUAGGGCUGAGCUGAAGGGCAAAUGAGACAGUGAGGGCAAAGGGAGCCUGGUGCCAGGCAUGUGCCAGGCAUUCAGCAGUGGCUAGCCAUGGUAGCCUGUCCCUAAAGUCCUGGGCACCACGUCCCCCCCCCCUCAGUUCCUUCUGGCUUUACUUCAGGAGCUGGAUUCCCUCCUCCUGCCAGAAAAAUCCAGCUCAUACUGCCUAAAGCACAAAUUCUCACACCAACCACUAGGUUCUGCCAGGUCCUGGCCAGUCCCAACACCAUGAAGCAGGAGGGCAGGCGAAUUUGAGCAGAGAUUGUUUCUGUUUGGCAUCAGCCUCUGCCAAUGCCCAGGAAAGCUGGAAUGCUCUCCUGCAAGGGUGACAUUUCCCCACACGCUAAACAUUGUCUUUUUUUUUUGAGACGGAGUCUUGCUCUGUCACCCAGGCUGGAGUG
ensembl:lncRNA